rnacentral:lncRNA from 1 species
UAUCUUUAGAAAUAUCUGUUUGGAAAUAUUUAACAGACUAUUUUAUUAAAGGCUGUCCAUUGAAAGUAUCUCUUGUGUAAUAGCCAGAUUAGAAUGAUUUGGUAAAAUUGUUCUUUAUUUUGUAAUAAAGUAGUUUUAGUUAUAAUUUCUGAAUUAAAAGCCAUUGCUGUUGGGUCAUGAAUAAAAUACUUUAAAUAAAACAGAGCUCUAAGACUUUGUUAACUCUUGGCCUACAGAGUGUUUAACUGUUUUUUGACUUGAGGCAAAUGAUUAUUUUAUUUGUAAUUUUAAAAAAUGGUAAAACUGCUCUUUACACACCAAUGAUUGUGAGGAUCAGAUCAUUUCAUCUUGUGAAAAUACAAGCUAUAGACCUUGCUGUAUAAUGUAUACUUUUGCUUUUAUGGCUCAUGCUUUAUGUUCUUUUUUAGUUCUAAAUGAGUACCUUGAUAUUUGACAUAUUGUGUUGCCUGUUUUUGUUUUUUCUGUAUGAUCUCUGCUUCAGUUUUCAUGUUCCAUAAUGACUUAAAAAUAUGUGACAUUUCAUAGCAACUUGGUUCUCUGUUUUAGUAGAAAACCAGGGGGGGAGUUUGAAAUGUAGAUUUAAUUGCAGAUUCAUUUGUUUAUUUCUCUGGUUUUUUCAUAACAGGGCUGAUGGAGUUAUGAGAACAAUGAACACAGAAAAACUCCUAAAAACUGUACCAAUUAUUCAGAAUCAGAUGGAUGCACUUCUUGAUUUUAAUGUUAAUAGCAAUGAACUUACAAAUGGGGUAAUAAAUGCUGCCUUCAUGCUCCUGUUCAAAGAUGCCAUUAGACUGUUUGCAGCAUACAAUGAAGGAAUUAUUAAUUUGUUGGAAAAAUAUUUUGAUAUG